rnacentral:tRNA from 1 species
GGAAGAGUCGGAUAAUGGUAUUCCAACACCCUGCUAAGGUGUCGCCCUUUAUGGGCUUGCGGGUUCGAAUCCCGCCUCUUCCGCCA